AGGUCAUACCUGGACACACUUCCGCUCGCAGCGGUGCCAGUCGCUGGUAGGAACCACUACUUUUACCUGCAACCUGAGGAUCAAGAGGGUUUUUUUGUCCUGCAAUAAGACUAUUAUUCUUCAUCCUUAGAAGUAAUGACAACAACACUGGGCUAAGAAGACUGAAAAAAGAAUGGCUACAAGCCAGAGUGAGGUGUCAGACAGCAGCGUGACAACACAGGACGGCGAUGACAGUUUAUACGAAGAACAUCUGCAAAAUGGCUCCAGAGCCCUGGAGACUGGAGACUUGGACAAGGCAGAACGAAGCUUUGCAUCGGCAAUCAGGUCUGU